rnacentral:lncRNA from 1 species
GGGGUGCCUUAAUGCUUGAUGGUAGGCCAUCUACUCUUCUCACUUAAUAACCUUUCUCUGAGGCAUCUCAAUCAGAGCUGUGGCCUCAACUGCUUAAUAUAACAGAGGCAUGUAAAAAGUGCUGCAGGAGUGUUCAGCCGAGUGCAUGACUAUGGCAUGUGAAAAGUAGCUUGAUUUGGGGUCACUGCUAUUCAGUGGAAAAUGUAACCUUGGGAUGGAUAAUGCGGCCCAAAUUUGAACUCUGAAAGACUAUUCACUGGAUUGGAACACCAAUAGAUACCAAUAAAUUAAAAGUAAUUGCUGUUUAUCCUUCAUCAAAAUUACCAUUAUUCUACAAGGUGGCCCUCCAGAGUUAGUGAACUGUGACCUCCACGUGGGAUUUGGACAUGCGUGCCCUACAUCUGGAAUGCAGAAACACUCUUCACAGAACUCUGAUAGCCCAGGAAUAUUUAUGUAAAUCUCUGUCCUGGUAAGGCACAUGUUGAUGUACUUGGGCUUAAGCUCAUAAACCAAGAGGAACAGUUUCCUACAUCUCCCUUCUAAUGACUAAAGCCAACGGGCUGAGCCAAAUGGGACAAUUUAGACAAAGAGAGACUGGCGAAAACCAAAUGAAUGUCUGCUUCCUUCUAGCAUUCUAGGAAAAAUACCAAGCGGCUGUGCCAAUGUGCACUGCUUGCCUUUGUUAGGAAAAUACACUCAAAAUCAGGGGAAUCAGUCAGUACCAGGUUCGGGAAAGAUGUAUGCAAGAGAGACUCCCUGAUGAGGAAAAAUCGACUACAGAAACACAGCAUGCACCCAGCUCAGCACAAACACAGCUUAAAAAUCCAAGGAAUUAGGAUGAAGUGUAGAAUCCCGAGGUUCUCAUUCUUGUUCCCAUAAGCCAGGAUUGGCUGAGCCUUAACCAGGAUACCACCUGGCAUUCAGCCACAUCAGCUAAAGAGAUGAGGAACCUGAGAGGAAACAAAUGUGAGGAAGAGGAUGAUUCAAGAGGACCAGAAAUACAAGGAAAGGACAGAGGCCCUCGGAUGGUUCACUGCAGAGAAGACAGGCUGAAAGAUUUAGGAACCGGCUGAAAGCCAACAUGCCAGAGCCUCCCGAAGGGUGGAAUCAGAGAUCUCUCCUGCUAUUAUUGUAUCAGCAGCCUCACGUCUACCCUCGGGCCUGAAUUUUGUUAUAGAUUUAUACACAUUUGAUAUAGAGUCCUUCCCAUGCUACUUUCCUACUAUCUCUGUUUCCUAGAACCAAGGUACACCCCUCCCCAUGGCCUCUCUCCCACUGCCAUCACAUUCUAAGCAUAUGUCCAGUCCUAGGGAGCUAUAAGACCUUGAGUGUAUUGGUGAAACUCUCCAAGUCUCAUUUUCCUCAUCUGUAAUAUGAAAA